CCUACGGGCGGCAGCAGUGAGGAAUAUUGGUCAAUGGGCGCGAGCCUGAACCAGCGAAGUAGCGUGAAGGAUGACUGCCCUACGGGUUGUAAACUUCGUUUAUAAAGGAAUAAAGUGAGGCACGUGUGCCUUUUUGUAUGUACUGUAUGAAGAAGGAUCGGCUAAGUCCGUGCCAACAGCCGCGGUAAUAAGGAGGAUCCGAGCGUUAUACGGAUUUAUUGGGUUGAAAGGGAGCGUAGAUGGGUUGUUAAGUCAGUUGUGAAAGUUUGCGGCUCAAACGUAAAAUUGCAAUGGAUACUGGCAGUCUUGAGUACAGUAGAGGUAGGCGGAAUUCGUGGUGUAGCGGUGAAAUGCUUAGAUAGCACGAAGAACUCCGAUUGCGAAGGCAGCUUACUAAACUGCCACUGACAUUGAUGCUCGAAAGUGUGGGUAUCAAACAGGAUUAGAUACCCGUGUAGUC
rnacentral:rRNA from 1 species